UAGUCCGGCGUUUGAGGUGUU
rnacentral:piRNA from 1 species